rnacentral:rRNA from 1 species
GUGAACGCUGGCGGUAGGCCUAACACAUGCAAGUCGAACGGCAGCACAGUAAGAGCUUGCUCUUACGGGUGGCGAGUGGCGGACGGGUGAGGAAUACAUCGGAAUCUACUUUUUCGUGGGGGAUAACGUAGGGAAACUUACGCUAAUACCGCAUACGACCUACGGGUGAAAGCAGGGGAUCUUCGGACCUUGCGCGAUUGAAUGAGCCGAUGUCGGAUUAGCUAGUUGGCGGGGUAAAGGCCCACCAAGGCGACGAUCCGUAGCUGGUCUGAGAGGAUGAUCGGCCACACUGGAACUGAGACACGGUCCAGACUCCUACGGGAGGCAGCAGUGGGGAAUAUUGGACAAUGGGCGCAAGCCUGAUCCAGCCAUACCGCGUGGGUGAAGAAGGCCUUCGGGUUGUAAAGCCCUUUUGUUGGGAAAGAAAAGCAGCAGGUUAAUACCCCGCUGUUCUGACGGUACCCAAAGAAUAAGCACCGGCUAACUUCGUG